rnacentral:rRNA from 1 species
GUCGAACGGUAACAGGAAGAAGCUUGCUUCUUUGCUGACGAGUGGCGGACGGGUGAGUAAUGUCUGGGAAACUGCCUGAUGGAGGGGGAUAACUACUGGAAACGGUAGCUAAUACCGCAUAACGUCGCAAGACCAAAGAGGGGGACCUUCGGGCCUCUUGCCAUCGGAUGUGCCCAGAUGGGAUUAGCUAGUAGGUGGGGUAACGGCUCACCUAGGCGACGAUCCCUAGCUGGUCUGAGAGGAUGACCAGCCACACUGGAACUGAGACACGGUCCAGACUCCUACGGGAGGCAGCAGUGGGGAAUAUUGCACAAUGGGCGCAAGCCUGAUGCAGCCAUGCCGCGUGUAUGAAGAAGGCCUUCGGGUUGUAAAGUACUUUCAGCGGUGAAAAGCUCUGUUAAUCGGGACGAAAGGCCUUCUUGCGAAUAGUGAGAAGGAUUGACGGUACCGGAAUAGAAAGCCACGGCUAACUACGUGCCAGCAGCCGCGGUAAUACGUAGGUGGUAAGCGUUGUCCGGAAUUAUUGGGCGUAAAGCGCGCGCAGGCGGAUAGGCCAGCCUGUCUUAAAAGUUCGGUGCUUAACCCCGUGAUGGGAUGGAAACUGCCAAUCUAGAGUAUCGGAGAGGAAAGUGGAAUUCCUGGUGUAGCGGUGAAAUGCGUAGAGAUCUGGAGGAAUACCGGUGGCGAAGGCGGCCCCCUG